rnacentral:rRNA from 1 species
AAUCAACGCUGGCGGCGUGCCUAACACAUGCAAGUCGAACGCGAAAGCCCGCAAGGGCAAGUAGAGUGGCGCACGGGUGAGUAACACGUGGAUAACCUGCCUUCGAGUGGGGAAUAACCUUCCGAAGGAGGGCUAAUACCGCAUAACACCUUCGGUCACAAGAUUGAGGGUUGAAAAGAGCAAUUUGCUCGAAGAGGGGUCCGCGCCUGAUUAGCUAGUUGGUGAGGUAACGGCUCACCAAGGCUUCGAUCAGUAGCCGUCCUGAGAGGGAGCACGGCCACACUGGAACUGAGACACGGUCCAGACUCCUACGGGAGGCAGCA